rnacentral:rRNA from 1 species
GACGAACGCUGGCGGCGUGCUUAACACAUGCAAGUCGAGCGGAAAGACCCCUUUGGGGGUACUCGAGUGGCGAACGGGUGCGUAACACGUGAGUAACGUGCACUUGACUUCGGGAUAACUUCAGGUAACGGGGGCUAAUACCGGAUAGGGAUCCUUGCUGCAUGGUGGGGGUUGGAAAGCGUCGGCGGGUUUGGAUGUACUCGCGGCUUAUCAGCUUGUUGGUGGGGCAAUGGCUUACCAAGCCGUGGACGCGUAGCCGCCCUGAGUGGGCGACCGGCCACCUUGGGACUGAGAGACGGCCCAGACUCGUACGCGAGGCAGCAGUGCGGAAUCUUGCACAAUCGGCGGAGGCCUGAUGCAGCAAGGCCUCGUGCGGGAUGACGGCCUUCGGGUUGUAAACCGCUUUCAGCAGGGGCGAAGCUUGUGGUGACGGUACCUGCAGAAGAAGCACCGGCUAACUACGUG